rnacentral:piRNA from 1 species
UGCUACUCACAAUGAAAUUAAGG